AUGUGGUCAAGCUACAAAGGGCGUAUGGGGGAUGUCUUGGCGUCAGGAGGCUGUGAAGGGCGUGGAAGUCUGCGAAAAGCCCGGGGGAGUUGACAAACGAGCGGUGAUCCCGGGGUUCCUGAACUGACAUGUGCUGAAUACAUAGGUACAUGUGGCCAACGCGGUGAACUGAAACAUCUCAGUAACCGUUGGAAAAGAAAGAAAAAUCGAUUCCGUCAGUAGCGGCGAGCGAACACGGAAUAGCCCAAACCGCGGGGGUUUUCCCCUGCGGGGUUGUAGGGCCUUUCACAUGGGAGUUAGAAAAUAAUCUGCUAGUAGAACCGCACUCGCUGGAACGGCGGGCCAUAGAGGGUGACAGCCCCGUAUGCGAAAGCGGAUUAUCUCCCGAAGGGUACCUGAGUAGGUCGGGUCACGUGGAACCCCGACUGAAUCUACGGGGUCCAUCCCGUAAGGCUAAAUACUCCCUGACGACCGAUAGUGAACUCAGUAUGGUGACUGAAAGAUGGGAAGAACCCCUUUUAGGGGAGGACACUGAACCUGAAACCAUACGCUUACAAGCGGUCGGAGCACGUGUGCCUUCGGGCCGUGUGACGGCGUGCCUUUUGCAUAAUGAUCCGGCGAGUUACCGUUGUCGGCGUGGUUAAGGCCUUCCGGGCCGAAGCCUAAGGGAAACCGAGUCUGAAUAGGGCGAAUUUGUCGGCAGUGGUAGACGCGAAACCUGGUGAUCUACCCAUGGACAGGUUGAAGCGCGGGUUAUACCGCGUGGAGGACCGAACCCACUUAGGUUGAAAACUGAGGGGAUGAUCUGUGGGGAGGAGUGAAAGUCUAAUCAAACCAGGAGAUAGCUCGUUCUCUCCGAAAUAUCUUUAGGGAUAGCCUCGAGCCACUACGUACCGGGGGUAGAGACACUGAAUUGGCAUGGGGGGAGUCGCAUCCUACUCAGCCGAACCAAACUCCGAAUACCGGUACGACUAUCUCGGGAGUCAGUCCGCGCGGGAUAAGCUGCGCGGUCAAAAGGGAAACAACCCAGACCAUCUGCUAAGGUCCCGAAGUCAUGCUCAGUCACUAAGGAAGUGGAUUUUCUGCGACAACCAGGAUGUUGGCUUAGAAGCAGCCACCAUUUAAAAAGUGCGUAACAGCUUACUGGUCGAGAAAUUCUGCGCCGAUAAUGAACGGGAGUAAGCAUGACACCGAAGCAGUGGGUUUCGUCGAUCCUGCGGGAUAGGCGAAGCGGUAGGAGAGCGCUCUAGAUCAGAUACAAGCCGUACCGAAAGGAGCGGUGUCGGGGUCUAGAGGUGAUUAUGCCGGAAUGAGUAACGAUAAAGCAGGUGAGAAUCCUGCUCGCCGAAAGCCUAAGGUUUCCUGGGGAAGGCAAUUCCGCCCAGGGUUAGCCGGUACCUUAGUCGAGGCCGAAAGGCGUAGACGAUGGACAGCAGGUCAACAUUCCUGCGCUUUCAAAGUGGACCUGAUGGAGGGACGGCGUUUUUAGGGUCAGCGGUACGAUUAGAAAUGUCCGUGGACCCUCUGGAGGUGUGGGGUAGGAAAAUCCACCCACAUAAGCCAAAGGAGGGGACCGACCGCAUUUAUGUUCGGGUAGUGAUCUGAAGGACGUCCAAGAAAAGCUUCUAGGGGUUUGACACUUUGUCAACCGUACUAAAACUGACACAGGUAGGCGAGUCGAGAAGACUCAGGCGCUCGGGAGAACGGUGGUUAAGGAACUCUGCAAAAUGGCCCCGUAAGUUCGCGAUAAGGGGUGCCACGGGCGGUUCACGCUGCCUGUGGCCACAGUAAAUCGGCUUCUCCGACUGUUUAUCAAAAACACAGGUCUCUGCUAACACGUAAGUGGAUGUAUAGAGACUGACGCCUGCCCGGUGCCGGUAGGUUAAGGAAGCGGGUUAGCUCUUCGGAGCGAAGCUCUCGACCGAAGCCCCGGUAAACGGCGGCCGUAACUAUGACGGUCCUAAGGUAGCGAAGUUCCUUGUCGGGUAAGUUCCGACCUGCAUGAAAGGCGUAACGACAGAAGCACUGUCUCAACCAGUGACCCGGUGAAAUUGUAGUCGUGGUGAAGAUGCCACGUACCCGCGGUUAGACGGAAAGACCCCGUGAACCUUUACUGUAGGCUGAUAUUGGUCUGAGAUAUGUUUUGUGUAGGAUAGGUGGGAGGCUAUGAGACCGGAGCGCCAGCUUCGGUGGAGCCAACCUUGAAAUACCACCCUGAAUAUAUUUUAGCUCUAACGCUGAUCCCGUGAAUCCGGGCAGCGGACAGUGUCAGUUGGGCAGUUUGACUGGGGCGGUCUCCUCCCAAAGAGUAACGGAGGAGUACAAAGGUACCCUCAGCUCGGUUGGCAAUCGGGCGUAGAGCGCAAAGGUAGAAGGGUGCUUGACUGCGAGACAUAUAAGUCGAGCAGGAACGAAAGUUGGUCUUAGUGAUCCUGUGGUUCCGUAUGGAAGGGCCAUAGCUCAUCAGAUAAAAGGUACUCCGGGGAUAACAGGCUUAUCGCUCCCGAGCGUCCAUAGCGGCGGAGCGGUUUGGCACCUCGAUGUCGGCUCAUCACAUCCUGGGGGUGGAGAAGCUCCCAAGGGUUUGGCUGUUCGCCAAUGAAAGUGGUACGUGAGCUGGGUUCAGACCGUCGUGAGACAGGUCGGUCCCUAUCUGCCGUGGGCGUACGAAACUUGAGGAGAUUCAACUUUAGUACGAGAGGAUUUAGUUGGACGUAGCUCUGGUGUACCAGUUGUCGCGCUAGCGGCACGGCUGGAUAGCUAACUACGGAAAGGAUAAACGCUGAAAGCAUCUAAGCGUGAAGCCCGCUCCGAGAUUAGGUUUCGUUGCACUUUGUGCGAGAGUCCCCUGGAAGACUACCAGGUUGAUAGGCCGGAUGUGUAAGUGCAGUAAUGCAUUCAGCUAACCGGUACUAACGGACGAAUGCUUGACCACAU
rnacentral:rRNA from 1 species